UGGGGAAUUUUGGACAAUGGGGGCAACCCUGAUCCAGCCAUGCCGCGUGAGUGAAGAAGGCCUUCGGGUUGUAAAGCUCUUUCGGCCGGGAAGAAAUCGUGGUCUCUAACAUAGGCCAUGGAUGACGGUACCGGACUAAGAAGCACCGGCUAACUACGUGCCAGCAGCCGCGGUAAUACGUAGGGUGCGAGCGUUAAUCGGAAUUACUGGGCGUAAAGCGUGCGCAGGCGGUUUUGUAAGACAGAUGUGAAAUCCCCGGGCUGAACAUGGGAACUGCGUUUGUGACUGCAAGGCUAGAGUACGGCAGAGGGGGGUGGAAUUCCACGUGUAGCAGUGAAAUGCGUAGAGAUGUGGAGGAACACCGAUGGCGAAGGCAGCCCCCUGGGCCUGUACUGACGCUCAUGCACGAAAGCGUGGGGAGCAAACA
rnacentral:rRNA from 1 species